UCGGAUAUGGUGUAACGGCUAACAUUGCCGCCUCUCAUUCCAGUAAUCUGUUCGCGGCAGCUCGGGGUUCGAUUCCCCGUAUCCGAA